rnacentral:lncRNA from 1 species
UUUUCUUCUGGCAGGGGAUGGCAUGAGCCGGGCUCUGCGGGCACUGAGGCUGCUCUGGGCUCUGCCAGGGCUCGGCUGGGCUCUGCCCUGGGCACAGCUGGGCUGGCUCUGCCCUCACAUUGCUCUGACAGCUUUGCAUCAGACGAGCCCAUUUGAGCACAGCGCCUGAGCUUUCUGCCUUGGCAGAAGUGCCACGAGUGGGCCAAACCUGGCAAGUGAGCCGAGUUCCUAAGGCAUUGCUGUCUGGAGCUAAUGGAUGAAGAAUUGCCCUUCCCACUUCCAAACCAGAGCAAAAAGAAGUAAGUGGGAUUUUUCAUCCGUAAGAAACCCCUGACAAUUUCAGAGGGAAUGUGCAGCUCAUUCACAGAAUGAGAAGGAAGGU